UUUAACCGACAUGGAAACCAUGUUGCUGCUUCCAGUCCUUCUUGCAACUUCAUUGUGGUCCCGUGGAGACGCGCAGGCAGUGCCAGUGCAAACCCCAGCGCUGCAGAGGAAGGUGAAGGGCAGCUCUGCCACCAUGGAGUGCAAAAUGAGCACCAACGACUACGUGCACUGGUACAAGCACCUUCCCGGAGAGCCCCCAAAGAGGAUCCUGUACGUGUCGGGACAGACACCUUAUUUUGAUGACAGCGGUGAUAGAAGCAGAGUUCAAGUCUGGAAGCAUCCUACUGAGCUGCUUUAUCGUCUCACGAUCGAUUUUUUAACCCCAAGGGAUUCUGGCACUUACUACUGUGCGUAUUGGACGUAUCAAGGCAUCACAGCCUCAGAGGCGCAAAGACGAGCCGUACAAAAAGGCAUUUUGCACUCUGAACCACAAGCUCUGAACUCUGCCAAAAAUGCAGAUACUUCCCUAUUCCACCCACCUCUCGUGAUUUUCUGCAGCCGGGUAGGAAAAACAGCAUUGUACCGUGACAACUGUGACAAGUAUCAUGCUAAUAAGGAGUAUUAUCAUUGCAGUACUCACAGCUAUCUGUACCAUCCAGAACGUGGAGAGUCCCAGUCACUUCAGGGUAAAUAGAUGGGCCUUUGCUCUUAGGAUGAAGGCUUGAUUAUCCUGCAAGCACUCACCUGACAGUGAACAUGGCUGGUCUGUGUGUGUGGACAAACGGGAGCUGUAAAUUUCUCUUCUCUAUUAGAAUCCUUGGAGCAAGCAGAGAAACAUAUCUACAUCCCCUCAGUGCUUUCUCUUGAAAAAAAAAAAGACAUGAAUGUAAACGAAGGAGAGAAGACCAGAUGAUCUUGCACACCCUCCUUCAUAUUCUUCUUUUGUCUUCCUUUGCAUUUCACUCACUACAAAUUCCAAAUCCAUGUGCCCUCAGAUAUUAACUCUAGGUCAGCUUGCUUUCUUUGCUGACGUUGUAGGAUGUGAGGAUUCCUCACAACCAAUCUAGGAGGUUUCUGGCAUGAGUUGAUGGCAACUUUCACACACAGGUGACUGAGCAGCCAGCAAGGAAGGGUGCUCUGCUGGGGCUCCUACGCACAAACAAGGGAGAACUGGUUGGGGGUGUGCAGGUCAGGGGCAGCCUUGGCUGCAGUGACCGUGAGCUGGUGGAGCUCAGGCUGCUGAGAGAAGGGAGCAGGGCAAAAAGCACAGCCCUGGACUUCAGGAGAGCAGACGUUAACUUCUUCAGAGACCUGCAGGGAAACUGGGGAUAGAUUACCUGGAAGCAGCCGAGGUACUCAAUGCUUUCCUUG